rnacentral:tRNA from 1 species
GCCAUCCUAGCUCAGUAGGUAGAGCAGCUCACUCGUAAUGAGCAGGUCGUGAGUUCGAGUCUCACGGAUGGCU